rnacentral:rRNA from 1 species
ACGGAGGGUGCGAGCGUUAAUCGGAAUCACUGGGCGUAAAGCGCACGUAGGCGGUGUCGUAAGUCGGAUGUGAAAGCCCUCGGCUCAACCGGAGAACUGCAUCCGAUACUGCGUAGCUUGAGUGCAGGAGAGGGAGACGGAAUUCCAGGUGUAGGGGUGAAAUCCGUAGAUAUCGGGAGGAACACCAGUGGCGAAGGCGGCAACCUGGCCUGAAACUGACGCUGAGGCGCGAAAGCGUGGGGAUCAAACAG